rnacentral:rRNA from 1 species
CAGUAGCCACGGUAAUACGUAGGUGGCAAGCGUUGUCCGGAAUUAUUGGGCGUAAAGGGCUCGCAGGCGGUUUCUUAAGUCUGAUGUGAAAGCCCCCGGCUCAACCGGGGAGGGUCAUUGGAAACUGGGAAACUUGAGUGCAGAAGAGGAGAGUGGAAUUCCACGUGUAGCAGUGAAAUGCGUAGAGAUGUGGAGGAGCACCAGUGGCGAAGGCGACUCUCUGGUCUGUAACUGACGCUGAGGAGCGAAAGCGUGGGGAGCGAACAGGAUUAGAGACCCCUGUAGUCCCUGUCUCUUAUAA